rnacentral:rRNA from 1 species
UACGUAGGGGGCAAGCGUUAUCCGGAAUGACUGGGCGUAAAGGGUGCGUAGGUGGUUUGGCAAGUUGGUAGCGUAAUCCCGGGGCUUAACUUCGGUGCUACUACCAAAACUGCUGGGCUUGAGUGCAGGAGGGGUGAAUGGAAUUCCUAGUGUAGCGGUGGAAUGCGUAGAUAUUAGGAAGAACACCAGCGGCGAAGGCGAUUCACUGGACUGUAACUGACACUGAGGCACGAAAGCGUGGGGAGCAAACAGG